rnacentral:tRNA from 1 species
CUGGUGUUGGCCCGAGUGGUUAAAGGCGUUGGACUUAAGUUCCAAUGGACAAGUGUCCGCGUGGGUUCGAACCCCACACCCAGU